CCUACGGGCGGCAGCAGUGGGGAAUAUUGCACAAUGGGGGAACCCCUGAUGCAGCGACGCCGCGUGAGUGAAGACGUAAUUCUUUAUGUAAAGCUCUAUCAGCAGGGAAGAAACUGACGGUACCUGUGUCAGAAGCCCCGGCUAACUACGUGCCAGCAUCCGCGGUAAUACGUAGGGGGCAAGCGUUAUCCGGAUUUACUGGGUGUAAAGGGAGCGUUGACGGCAGUGCAAGUCUGGAGUGAAAGGCGGGGGCUCAACCCCCGGACUGCUCUGGAAACUGUACGGCUGGAGUGCAGGAGAGGUAAGUGGAAUUCCUGGUGUAGCGGUGAAAUGCGUAGAUAUUAGGAAGAACACCAGUGGCGAAGGCGGCUUACUGGACUGUAACUGACGUUGAGGCUCGAAAGCGUGGGGAGCAAACAGGAUUAGAUACCCCUGUAGUC
rnacentral:rRNA from 1 species